rnacentral:tRNA from 1 species
AAGGUUAUAGCUUAAUUGGUAAAGCAAGCUGCUCAUGACGGUUUAGAUGAGUGUUCAAGUCACUUUGGCCUUAA